rnacentral:lncRNA from 1 species
AUCAACCAAUUCAGUUUCGUCUUCCACAGAUCCAGUUCAUGUACCGUCUCCUGUUUCUAGAUCAUCACCUGUGGGAGCUAUUAAACGUGAAGUAAGAGGUGGAGGCUUUGGUGGAAAACCUUCUGAAGUUAUUGGUAAAGAUCCAUCUGCUGGUGCUUUGUCAAAAAUUGGGACUCCAAAUGCAUAUCGAUCAUCUUCCCCAAAUUCAAAGAUUAAUCAAGUCAGCCAAACUACUCCACGAGAGUCUGUUUUACCCAGCGGUGUGGAAAAGAAUAGGCCACUUUUGAACAGGCAGCGUGGGAACAGAGGAAGCCAAUAUGCUAGAACUCAACAAGUUGGUGGCCAUACAAAAGGUAAUUUAUAUGCAAAUAUAGAUGAAUUGAAUGAAUGUUGUGCCAUUUUGACUUGGUUCCUGCCAACCAUUAUGCAAGUUUGUUUUUGGUUAAUUGAACUGAUAUUCUUUAUCAACCUGUACUUAAUGCAGGGGUCUCACAGAACAAGGAGUGGAAGCGUAAAUCGAUUCAGAAACCCGUUGGACAUAACCCUGGAGUAAUUGGAACACCAACAAAGUCUCAGGCUUGUCGUCCUGCUGAUAAUAUUACAAAACUGGAAUCAGAGGCUGUUAAGUUGCAAGAUAAGCUUUCACAUGUUCAUAUCAGUGAAACACAGAAUGUCAUCAUCGCAGAACAUAUUCGCCUCCCAGAGACUGACCGAUGUCAGCUUACUUUCGGUAGCUUUGUUCGAGAGUUUAGUUCUUCAAUGAAUUCAGAACCUGCUGCUUUCCAGGAAUCAUGCUCUUCAGAAGAACUUAGAGACUCUGAUCGUAGGUAAGUUCUAAAAGUUGGUUUUGUUACAUCUCAUGUAAAGUUUAAGAUCACUUGUAUCUUUCCUCAAGUAACUCGGUUGAUACUGUUUGCAGUUCGCCAGUUACUGCUCCAGAGACUUUAGCAGAUGGUCCGGGGGUUAAGCCUAUCGAUAUUCUUGAUGAUCAUCUCAGAGUUUCUGAAUCUGACUCACGUGUAUCGGUUCCAUCUGAGCAACUGUUGCCGGAAGAGGAGGCUCAUAGAUCUGACAAUUUGGAUGAGUACUCGGAAAUGCUAAAAAAUUCUGACACUCUCGUCCCUUUCCAGCAGGCAUAUGGUAAUCACGGUAGUUAUGACUUCCCGUAUUUUAGUCAGACAAUAGACGAAAACUCACGAGGACAAGGCUUACCAUCUCAGCAGGAGGUAAUUUUCUUGCUUCUGCUGUAAUUUAGCCUUCUCUUUCAUUUCAUUGGCCAAGAAAAACUAACUAGGUAUCCUUUUGCUAAAUGCAGCAAGCAUCAGGUACUCACAUGGUGAACAAUGCCCCUCCAUCUACGAUUCCCAUGUUGCAGCAGCAACAACAACAACAACAGGGGUCAAUGCAGCAGAUGUACCCGCAGGUUCAUGUUUCGCAUUUUCCUAGUCUCAUGCCUUACCGUCAGUUCGUCUCCCCAGUCUAUGUUCCACAGAUGCCCAUGCCAGGCUACUCAGGUAACCCAGCAGCAUAUGCACACCCUUCAAGUGGCAAUAGCUAUGUGCUGAUGCCUGGAGGUGGUUCACAUCCCGGUUCAAAUGGUGUUUGUACGGUAUCCUGGCAUCCUGCUUUUCUUAUUCUAGCAUGUUCUAUCACGGACUUGGCUUGUUUUAUUUUUUUUAUACAUGUUUAAUAGCAUGAUACUCUUUAACGAUUGUUUUUGUGUUACUAUAAAGGAGUUAUGUCGCUGUAGCUGUAGUUUUCCAAAAAAUACAUUGGUUUUGUAGCCUUGGAAAACAGAAAGCCUACCGAGGAGUUGUUAUCUUAUAAUUUCGAGAGAAAGCUAUGCUAUGCUUUGAUUAGAUGAGAAAAAUUAAGAUUGUCGCUCUUUUUUUCAUUGUUUUCCAGGUCAACAGGUGGUUUAGGCAAUCAUCACUCUUCAGGGGCUCAAGGUUUUACCGAAGAUUGUAAAGCAGCAGCAGAUGUCAGGCCCAGAGAUUCUGAAAUUGCUCCAUUACACCAUCCUACCAGAAAAGAAGUCUCUGAUGGAAAGGAGACAUCCCGUGGUGCUACUUUGCCAUCAACCAAUUCAGUUUCGUCUUCCACAGAUCCAGUUCAUGUACCGUCUCCUGUUUCUAGAUCAUCACCUGUGGGAGCUAUUAAACGUGAAGUAAGAGGUGGAGGCUUUGGUGGAAAACCUUCUGAAGUUAUUGGUAAAGAUCCAUCUGCUGGUGCUUUGUCAAAAAUUGGGACUCCAAAUGCAUAUCGAUCAUCUUCCCCAAAUUCAAAGAUUGAUCAAGUCAGCCAAACUACUCCACGAGAGUCUGUUUUACCCAGCGGUGUGGAAAAGAAUAGGCCACUUUUGAACAGGCAGCGUGGGAACAGAGGAAGCCAAUAUGCUAGAACUCAACAAGUUGGUGGCCAUACAAA